rnacentral:rRNA from 1 species
CACUAUCGCCAGGGAAUUACGAGCCCAAUCUUAAAACCCAAAGGACUUGACGGUGCCCCACCCACCUAGAGGAGCCUGUUCUAUAAUCGACACCCCCCGAUACACCUCACCCCUUCUAGCACGCAGUCUGUAUACCUCCGUCGUAAGCUUACCAUGUGAACGCAAGUGAGCCCAAAGACUCUGUGUCAAUACGUCAGGUCAAGGUGCAACUAACGAAGCGGAAAGCAAUGGGCUACAAUUUCUAUCAUAGAACAUACGAAAAACUGCAUGAAAUACAGUCAUGAAGGCGGAUUUAGUAGUAAAAAGAAAAUAGAGUGUUCUUUUUAAUCCGGCACUGGGACGCGU